rnacentral:rRNA from 1 species
CGUCAGCUCGUGUCGUGAAUGUUGGGUUAAGUCCCGCAACGAGCGCACCUUGUCUCUAGUUACUAACAGUUAGGCUGAGCACUCUAGAGAGACUGCCGGUGAUAAACCGGAGGAAGGUGGGGAUGACGUCAAGUCAUCAUGGCCCUUAUGGGCAGGGCUACACACGUGCUACAAUGGGCGGUACAAAGGGUUGCCAACCCGCGAGGGGGAGCUAAUCCCACAAAGCCGUUCGUAGGGCAGUCUGCAACUCGACUGCAUGAAGUCGGAAUCGCUAGUAAUCGCUAAUCAGCAGUGCUGCGGUNAU